AUACCCUUCCGCCGUCGCUGCCAAUUCAGCGACCGGGCUUGGUAACCCGAGAG
rfam:Pseudomonas sp. TW4, complete genome.